AUCAUUAUUAGAUAAUGACAAGCUCAUGGGACCUAAUUUCGAUAGUUGGUAUCGAAAAUUAAAAAUCAUCCUUGAGCAUGAGCGGAUCCUUUAUAUAGUAACGGAUCCGGCACCUGAGGAGCCAGCCCUGAACGCUAGAGGGAUGGUCCGAGAUACUUACCAGAAGUGGCUCAACGACCGCACCACCGUUCGGUGCAUUAUGCUGGCAUCAAUGAAUGAUGAGUUCAGUCGUAGGUUCGAGAACGCCCAACCACAGGAGAUACUUCAAAUGUUGAACGACUCCUUUGGCACGCCUGACGACGUUGAAAGGCACAAAACUAGUUAUGCCAUUUUCAAUAUUCGGAUGAGGGAUGGAGCCUCAGUCACUGAUCAUGUACUGUACAUGAUCGAAAUGAUUGAGCACCUAAAUAAACUGAGCUUUCCCCUGCAUGAGCAGCUCGAUAAGGAUGCAAUCCUUAAUUCUCUGCCCAAGUCCUACCUUCUCUUCCUUACUCAUUUUCGAAUGACAAAGCCUGUAGUGAACUACCAUGGCUUGUUGGGGUUGCUGCAGAACUUUGAGAAGGACCACCAGCUCCAUAAGGAGUCGGUGAAUGUUGUGGGAGGGUCUUCUUCUGGUCGUCGACCCUUUAAAAAAGGAAAGAAGAAUAAAAAGAAGAAGAAUAAGAAGGUGCAACCAAAGUAGGUGAUUAUGAAUCACUUCCAACCUGUGAGUUCUGUCUUCUUGAUAAAAUGACCAAGUCACCUUUUAUUGAAAAAGGUGAGCGAGCCAGUGAACUCUUGGGUCUGGUACAUUUUGAUGCAUGUGGACCCAUGAGCUCAAGUGCAAGAGCUGGAUAUUUCUACUUCAUAACCUUCACAGAUGACCUAUCGAGGUAUGGAUAUGUCUAUUUAAUGAAACAUAAGUUGGAGUCGUUUGAAAUAUUCAAACUAUUUUNNNNNNNNNNNNNNNNNNNNAUCCUUGAGCAUGAGCGGAUCCUUUAUGUAGUAACGGAUCCGGCACCUGAGGAGCCAGCCCUGAACGCUAGAGGGACAGUCCGAGACACUUACCAGAAGUGACCCAACGAUCGCACCACCGUUCGGUGCAUUAUGAUGGCGGCAAUGAAUGAUGAGUUCAGCCGUAGGUUCGAGAACGCCCAACCACAGGAGAUGCUUCAAAUGUUGAACGACUCCUUUGGCACGUCUGACGACGUUGAAAGGCACAAAACUAGUUAUGCCAUUUUCAAUGCUCGGAUGAGGGAUGGAGCCUCAGUCACUGAUCAUGU
rnacentral:lncRNA from 1 species